rnacentral:ncRNA from 1 species
UAAAGGUUUGGUCCUAGCCUUUUUAUUGACUCUCAGUAGACUUACACAUGCAAAUAUCCCUGNCCCNGUGAGAAUGCCCUCUAUAUCAAACUGAUCAAAAGGAGCGGGUAUCAAGUUCACUACUCAGUUGCUCAUNNCGCCUUGCUCAACCACGCCCCCACGGGAUACAGCAGUGAUUAAGAUUAAGCUCAUGAACGAAAGUUCGACUAAGUCAUACUAGCACCUGGGUUGGUAAAUUUCGUGCCAGCCACCGCGGUCAUACGAUUAACCCUGGUCAAUAAAACACGGCGUAAAGCGUGAUUAAAAGAAAUAAACUAAAUAAGACUAAGCCCAGACUAAGCUGUAAAAAGCCCUAGUUACAAUAAAAUAACUAAACGAAAGUAGUCUUNAANCUCUUGAACUCACGAUAGCUAAGACCCAAACUGGGAUUAGAUACCCCACUAUGCUUAGCCCUAAACAUGGACGCUCAAAUAACAAGACCGUUCGCCAGAGUACUACUAGCCACAGCUUAAAACUCAAAGGACUUGGCGGUGCUUUACAUCCCUCUAGAGGAGCCUGUUCUAUAAUCGAUAAACCCCGCUAUACCUUACCACCCUUUGCAAGUAUCAGCCUAUAUACCGCCAUCUUCAGCAAACCUUAACAAAGCCUCAUAGUAAGCGCAAUAAUAAAACAUAAGUACGUUAGGUCAAGGUGUAGCCCAUAGGGUGGAAAGAAAUGGGCUACAUUUUCUGAUACAACAGAACAUUCUUCCACGAUAGCUUUUAUGAAACUAAAAGCCCAAGGCGGAUUUAGUAGUAAGCUAGGAAUAGAGAGCCUAGCUGAAUUGGGCAAUAAAGCACGCACACACCGCCCGUCACCCUCUUCAAGUACUACAGACAAACAUAACAUACUUAAUUUCACUCCGUCAACAGCACAAGAAGAGAUAAGUCGUAACAAGGUAAGCAUACUGGAAAGUGUGCUUGGAACAAU